CGCCUGGGGAGUACGGCCGCAAGGUUAAAACUCAAAUGAAUUGACGGGGGCCCGCACAAGCGGUGGAGCAUGUGGUUUAAUUCGAUGCAACGCGAAGAACCUUACCUGGUCUUGACAUCCACAGAAGUAUCCAGAGAUGGAUUUGUGCCUUCGGGAACUGUGAGACAGGUGCUGCAUGGCUGUCGUCAGCUCGUGUUGUGAAAUGUUGGGUUAAGUCCCGCAACGAGCGCAACCCUUAUCCUUUGUUGCCAGCGGUCAGGCCGGGAACUCAAAGGAGACUGCCAGUGAUAAACUGGAGGAAGGUGGGGAUGACGUCAAGUCAUCAUGGCCCUUACGACCAGGGCUACACACGUGCUACAAUGGCGCAUACAAAGAGAAGCGACCUCGCGAGAGCAAGCGGACCUCAUAAAGUGCGUCGUAGUCCGGAUUGGAGUCUGCAACUCGACUCCAUGAAGUCGGAAUCGCUAGUAAUCGUGGAUCAGAAUGCCACGGUGAAUACGUUCCCGGGCCUUGUACACACCGCCCGUCACACCAUGGGAGUGGGUUGCAAAAGAAGUAGGUAGCUUAACCUUCGGGAGGGCGCUUACCACUUUGUGAUUCAUGACUGGGGUGAAGUCGUAACAAGGUAACCGUAGGGGAACCUGCGGUUG
rnacentral:rRNA from 1 species